rnacentral:rRNA from 1 species
CCUACGGGUGGCAGCAGUGAGGAAUAUUGGUCAAUGGACGAGAGCCUGAACCAGCCAAGUCGCGUGAAGGAUGACUGCCCUAUGGGUUGUAAACUUCUUUUACACGGGACUAAAAUGCCCCACGUGUGGGAUUUUGUAUGUACUAUAUGAAUAAGGAUCGGCUAACUCCGUGCCAGCAGCCGCGGUAAUACGGAGGAUCCGGGCGUUAUCCGGAUUUAUUGGGUUUAAAGGGAGGGUAGGGGGGUUGUUAAGUCAGUUGUGAAAGUUUGCGGCUCAACCGUAAAAUUGCAGUUGAAACUGGCAGUCUUGAGUAAAGUAGAGGUAGGCGGAAUGCGUGGUGUAGCGGUGAAAUGCUUAGAUAUCACGAAGAACUCCGAUUGCGAAGGCAGUUCACUGGACUGCAACUGACACUGAGGCUCGAAAGUGUGGGUAUCAAACAGGAUUAGAUACCCUGGUAGUC